rnacentral:tRNA from 1 species
GGAAAUGUAGCUGAGUGGUAGAGCACUUGCAUAGCAAGCAUGAGGCCUUGGGUUCAAUCCCUAGUACCA